UAAAGUCUUUAAUGAGGAUUCUUUUGAAAAAUAGCCUACCAAAAUCAGACGCAUUUUCUACUGGAAUAUUUUAUAUGUGCCCAAAAGGGACUUCGACCCUAGAAGCCAAAACCACUUUCAAAAAAAUUCUUCGAAGCUUGUGUGGCUGGUGAUGAAAAACCAAAA